CAGCAGCAGCCGCGGUAAUACGUAGGGUGCGAGCGUUAAUCGGAAUUACUGGGCGUAAAGCGUGCGCAGGCGGUUAUAUAAGUCAGAUGUGAAAUCCCCGGGCUCAACCUGGGAACUGCAUUUGAGACUGUAUGGCUAGAGUGUGUCAGAGGGGGGUAGAAUUCCACGUGUAGCAGUGAAAUGCGUAGAUAUGUGGAGGAAUACCGAUGGCGAAGGCAGCCCCCUGGGAUAACACUGACGCUCAUGCACGAAAGCGUGGGGAGCAAACAGGAUUAGAUACCCGUGUAGUCCCUGUCUCUUAUAC
rnacentral:rRNA from 1 species